AGCCACUCUCUUUCAUCCUGCAUAGCUCCAUCCGAGCGAAGCAAAUCCGACGUCAAGACUCCAAACGACGACGAAUCCAAUCGACCUGUCCCCUCUCGCGAUCCCGGCUUCGAUCUCCCCCAUCCGCCCCCCCAAAUCCGAUCCCGUUCUCCCUCUUGUUUCGAUCGAUUCCCGCCGCACGAUGGCUCGCUACGGCGGAUUUUAGGGAUUGCAGGGUGAGGAAGUUGGGGGUCGGGCGGUGGGGAUGGAUUCCGAUGAGGACAUGCAUGACGCGGUCGAUCUCGAGUCGGUGGACGACGAUUUCUACAGCGGGGAGACGGGGAUGGACGGCGAGGACGGCGGUGCUGACUAUAAUUUCGUUGACCACGUGUUGGAUGAUUCCGAGGACAUCACCUCGCGUCGCCAGCAGCAGAACUGUAUCAUAUUGAGUGAGACUGAUAUUCGGCAGCUUCAGGAGGAAGAUAUCAAUAGAGUAUCUACUGUACUUUCAAUACCAAGAUAUGCAGCAUGCAUUCUUCUUUGUCAUUGUAAUUGGAGUAUUAGUAGGGUGCAUGAUGAGUGGUUUGCAGAUGAAGAGCAUGUUCGGAAGGCUGUUGGUUUGUUGGAGACAGUGGUGAAAAUGCGAAAUGGUCCAGAACUAAAUUGUGGGAUUUGUUUUGAUAACUAUCCUCGUGACAUGAUGAGUUCUGCAUCAUGUGGUCAUCCUUUUUGUGGGGCUUGUUGGAGAGGUUACAUUAGUACAUCUAUUAGUGAUGGCCCUGGAUGCUUAAUGUUGCGAUGCCCUGAUCCUUCUUGUGGUGCUGCUGUUGGACAAAAUAUGAUUGAUGUAUUGACUACUGAUGAGGAUAAAGAAAAGUACUCACGUUAUCUUCUUAGAUCUUAUGUUGAAGAUAAUAAAAAGAUGAAAUGGUGUCCUGCCCCUGGUUGUGAGUUUGCUGUGGAAUUUGUUAUGGGCAGUGGAAGUUAUGAUGUUUGUUGCAGCUGUUCAUAUAACUUUUGUUGGAAUUGUACUGAGGAAGCUCAUAGGCCAGUUGAUUGUGUUACAGUAGCAAAGUGGAUUCUGAAGAACUGUGCUGAAUCUGAAAAUAUGAACUGGAUAUUAGCAAACUCAAAACCUUGUCCAAGGUGCAAACGUCCAAUUGAGAAAAACCAAGGAUGCAUGCAUAUAACAUGCACACCUCCUUGUAAAUUUGAAUUUUGCUGGUUAUGUCUUGGACCAUGGUCAGAACAUGGUGAGAGAACUGGUGGUUUCUAUGCUUGUAAUCGCUAUGAAGCAGGAAAACAGGAAGGAGCGUAUGAUGAAUCUGAAAGGAGGAGAGAAAUGGCUAAAAACUCUCUUGAGAAAUAUACACAUUAUUACGAAAGAUGGGCUACCAAUCAAUCGUCGAGGCAUAAGGCACGUGCAGACCUACAAAGUAUGCAAACUGAGAAGCUUCAGAAGCUAAGUGACAUGCAAAGCCAACCAGAGUCCCAACUCAAGUUUAUAAUAGAAGCUUGGUCACAGAUUGUGGAGUGCAGGCGGGUAUUAAAGUGGACAUAUGCCUAUGGUUAUUACCUUCCAGAGCAAGAACAUGCCAAGAGACAGUUCUUUGAGUAUUUGCAAGGUGAAGCUGAGUCUGGGUUAGAACGCCUUCAUCAAUGUGCAGAGAAGGAACUCCAAGUCUAUCUUGAUGCCGAAGGUCCUAUGAGCGAUUUUAAUGACUUCCGUACAAAGUUAGCUGGGUUGACCAGUGUGACUAGGAACUAUUUUGAGAAUCUUGUUCGAGCCCUGGAGACUGGAUUGAAGGAUGUGGGUUCUUCCAGCAACCAAACCACAUGCAGCAGGAGUUCAAGCUCCAAGAUGUUGGACAACAAAAACAAGGGUGGAAAGAUCAAAGCAGCUGGGACCAGCUGUGGAUUAGGAGCUCCUAGCCGCAGCCUGGAUGACAGCAAUCUCUGGUCUUGCGACCGCUGCACCUACGCCAAUCCCAGGUCCACUAGGUCAUGCCAGAUGUGCGAGUAUCGCAGGUAGUAAAGUGCAGAUACUCCUGCAAUAUGUGUAAAGUUUGCCCCUGAACCUGUUUCAGUGGCUUGUGUUGAUAGAAAACACUCCUGUGAUGCCAGCAAGAAGGUAUUUGAUCAUCAUAGGUUAUAACUUGCCAUGGAAGAGGGGAAAGUAGCAUGCAUGCCGAGAGAGAGAGAGAGAGAGUCAUUUCAGCAUGGCCAGGUGUCCUUAUGGUUGUUUUUGGCAAUCUGUUGCUCAAAGAUUGAGAUGUCACGAGCAGUGGGAUCUUAUUUGCCAAAUUGAAUGCAUAUGAUGCAUCGCUCCUACCAAUCUGUAAAUAAUUUCAAUUUCAGAGCUCAACAUUACCAAGAUGAAGCCAUCAUUGCAGAAUUUGCUAGGCCCAGCAGGAACUCAGAAUAAGGAUACAAAGAUCUUACAAUCAGCUGCACUACACAAUGCGUUCGGAGACGACAACACAAGAAUGCACGCAUGAGAGCCGAGAACAAGUGCACCUGUCGAUCCGAAGAAAGACAAUCCGAUAAGAAGACGACGAACAACGUCGACUCGAAAAAGAAUUCAUUCGACUGCAAUCAGAAGUUGUGCUGCAGGAACAGAUCCUGCUGUGGUGAUGCUGGUCCGAUCUCUUCCUCCAAGCACCUCAAGCCAUCUCCCGCUCCUCCGUUUCCCAGACUCCUCCCCUCCGAGUUCUUCCCUUCCGUGGCGUCGCCUUCCGAUCUCCUCUGCGACGAGGUCACGCUGGGGAACGUGAUCCAUGAAGGUGCUCUGUACUCCAACAACUGGUCGUCGGCGUCGGUUGUGUCGUUCUCCGAGCACGACUGGUUCGAAGACCUCUGUGAUCCCCUCUUGUGCAGCCGACUGCUCCCCAAGACCACCUCCGUCGGCAAUAUCGGCUGCUCGUUGCAUGGGCUGCCCAUCAGCAGCGCCAGAGCUCUCUCCAAGGCCGUCGUCACCUUGUCCAUCGACGGCCGGUCCUUCCCCCGCAUCCUGACGCACUUGCACGCCGUGGCGGCGAUCUUCUUCAGAGCCUCCGGUUCGGCAGGAGGUUUCAGCGCCGGAUCCAGGAUGGCCGAAACGUCACCAGCCUUGAUCAGCGGAACCGCCCAUUCCACGAUGUUUCCUUCUUCGAACUGCAUGUCGAUCGCCUUUCUACCGCUCAAGAUCUCCAGAAGCAGAACCCCGAAGCUGUACACAUCCGAUUUGGUGGUCAAGUAAUGAAGCCUGUAGUAUUCGGGGUCGAGGUAGCCAAGAGUACCGGCCGGAGGCUCGGACAAGGGCGAGCUGCUGUCCGCCGGCCCCAACAAGGACAGACCAAAAUCUGCAACUCGAGCGUUGUGCUCCUCGUCGAUGAGAAUGUUGGACGACUUGAUGUCCCUGUGGAUCACAGGCGGGCAAGCGUACCCAUGCAGGUAUUCGAUCCCCCUCGCAGCUUGGACGGCAAUGGUGACCCUGCGAACCCAGUCCAGCCGCCGUUUCAGGCUUGCAUCCUUGCCAUGAAGGUGCUGGUACAAGGAUCCAUGGGCCAUGAACUCGUACACCAGCAGCCUCUCGCCACCUUCCUCGCAGUACCCAAGAAGGUUGAGCAAGUGCGCGUGGUUCAGCCUGGAGAGCAGGUCGAGCUCGGUGUGGAAUUCCUUGGUGUUCUUCUUCACGUCCGACGCUUUGGUGGCCCUCUUCACUGCAACCACCGUCCCAUCUCUCAACACCCCUUUGAAGACACACGAGAAGCUGCCCUUCCCCACGAGGGAUUCCUCGCCGAAUCCGCCGGUCGCCUUCUCCAGCUCUUCGUAGGUGAACGUCUGUGCUCUCCUAAUCUUUAGCUCCUCCAGGUCCGGUCGCACCUUCACCGGCUCCUUGUGGAACGAGUAUGCCCUGGUCUUCAACGCAGUCAGGUCAGGCUCCGAACACGAGCAGCUCCGUAGCCGGCGGCGAACGCAGAGGCACGCGACCAAAGAUACCGAGCUCGCGAAGACGAUGGCGAAGGCGAGCUCCGCGACGAAGAUCGGCAUCUGGAGAGAAAGCAGCCCGUGGCUCCGGGGCCUCUGCUCUGACGAGCAGGAGGAGGAGCAAUCCGCUGAGGCACAGCUGGAACAGUUGAACUCACAACCACGGUCGGACGUCGAGUUGCAGGGCGUAGACUGAUACGUCCCUUCGGGACAGCCGACGCUGCACGGCAAGCAAACUCUGGAAUUCGCUGGCUUGCAGACUUUGCCCCCCAAGCUUGCAUGGAUGAACUCGUAGUAUCCCGGGCCGCAAGGAUUGGAGGCGCAGAUCCCAGGGGAGACCGCCAUCGGUAUCGACCAGGGGCCGCCUGUGCCCCAGCACUGCGGCCGAAGUGACGCCUCCGCAAUCACACCGCAGGUGAAGUAGUCCCCUGCUGCGAGCUCGUACACCCUCGUAUCCUUGGGUGGGGGCACGCUGUUCUGAAGCUUGAAGCCCCAGCACACCACCUUGCGAUCUAAGCUCUUGAUGCCGCAAGCAUGGAACCUGCCGCCGGCGACCGACACCAUGGGAUCCAUGGGAACCAUGUUGACAUCUCCCUGGCCUAAGAUGUCCGAAGAAGACUGCUGCAUUUCCAAGCUCCUUCCCCAGCAGAAGACCUGGGAGUUCUGCAGAACCCCGCAGACAUGGAAUCCACCAGCCGAAAUGGAUCGGAACCUCAGGUUCCUCGGAGUGAGGCUGAUGACGCUGCUCCCGGUCUCGUCGCCCCAGCAGAAGGCCGUCCGGUUGCCGGCAAACAUCCCACAGUUGAACACCGAGCCGGCAGUGAUCGACACAAUGGGGCCACUGAACUCGUGGGAGGCGGUCAUGUUGUAGCCCCAGCAGUCAAUCAAGGAGACGCCUCUUUGCUCUCCUUUGCUCGGCCUGCGGAGGGCACAGAGGUGGUCAUCACCGGCGCUGAUCUCCGAGUAGGCCGCGCCUUCCACCAUGGGCUGCGGCACCCCCAUCUUGACGUAGAUGUUGCUCCCCCAGCAGUAGGGUUGGUAGGCAUCCAAAAGGAGCCCACAGACGAAUCCAUCACCGGCCGUGAGACCCAGGAGGGGGAGCCUAAUAGGAGCACCAUAGACGAUGGAAGCAUCAGCACCGAAGCAGGAGACCAUGUGAGACCCAUCUGAGCUUAGACCACAGAAGACUGGUCCAUUCUCACCGUAAGAGACAGCGAUGGAGGACAUUGAUCCGAGGCCGGAGACCCCCACAUAAAUUGAGCCACAAACGAUCACCAAAACUGCAGCUUGAACGAGAAAUCCAGGCCUAACGCUGUUCAUCUUUCUCACGCUCCGCUCUACCUUACCAAAAAUCAAGCCUUUAUCACCCAAAAGGAUGACCAGAACAGCUUUGAAUCAUUUGCAGAGUGAGAAUUACACUAGAGGGAAGAGACCGCAGGUCAAUCAGACAUUCCUUCUCUUUGAUCAUCCAGAAAACAAAGAGGACUCGGUAGAAAAGCACGGUGAUCUCAGAACAGAGAUGGAACUUGAUCCGAACCUGGAAUCCGGAACUUGUGAUGGGAAGAUAACUUGCAAGAUGAAGCCUUUUACCCAGAAACCCACUGAGAAUCUACGAACGGUCUGAGCCAAAAAAAUGGAAGGAAGCCGUGCGGUGCAUCCACAACCAGCACAAAACCUCAGCUUUCCUUGCAUUCAACUCCACGCAAAAUAACUUCUCCCCCUUCACAAAAGACUCGCAAUAACGAGGCAGUGGAGAAAGAAGCUGUUGAGAAGGGAACCUACCCCAUGAGCAGUUAGUUCCCUUGGUGGCUCCUCCUGCUCUUUGGUCUGGAGCUUUGCUGUGGGCAACAUCACAGGGGGGUAAGCUGGAAAGAAACAAGCUGAAACACGUACAGAGAAGGAGAGGUAAUGCGGAUGGGAGCAUUGAAUGCAAUAAAUUUUAGUUCCUGGUUGGAGGCAUGUGUAGGUGAGAAUUUUAAUGAGAAGUAAAUGCAAUAUGUUUCCAUGCCUGGAUCUCUGCACACUUGUCCAUCAAUUCAAAUUCCUCUGCAA